CCGGCAGCAGUUCAUGACGGCGCGCCUCGCAUCGGGAAAGUUCAAACGGGAAACAGGAAGAGGCCGCCCGCCGCGUCGUCGCGCCGCAACGUCUCCAGCCUGUGCUGCCCCCGCAACGGUCACUCCGCGCGCUGCCGCCGCGGACGAGCCCGAUACCGGCCGGUUCACCACGGAGGAU
rnacentral:ncRNA from 2 species